GCUUGUUUUCCUGCAACUAGAUGGUCCCAUCUGGGGGUGAUGAGACACAGUGACACCCGAGGUGUGUUCCUUAUGUCCGGUCUAUUCUGUAAUCUCAUUUUGGUUGCUGUUACUGUGGAAAAUCCUGCCUCACAAAGAUAGGAUGUUGAAAAUGGAAGGAGGCUUUUCAGUACUUUUGUGGCAAUCUCAGGAUGUUCCGCCUUGACUUUAAUCGAGAACGUAUGGAGAUUUGAAGUUGUCUCAAACAUACUUUUAAGGCCACCGUCAUUUGCAAUAUCAAGCAGUUGAUCCUCUUCUAGCGUGGACAAAGUGGAUUCACCUGGCUUAUUCACAAAUGGGUCACAGAUCCAUUCCGUCUUUUGUGGAUGAGAAGUGUGAUGGUUAAUACUGAGUGUCAACUUGAUUGGAUUGAAGGAUACAAGUAUUGAUCAUUGGUGUGUCUGUGAGGGUGUUGCCAAAGGAGAUUAACAUUUGAGUCAGUGGGCUGCGAAAGGCAGACCCACCCUUAAUCUGGUUGGGCACAAUCUAAUCAGCUGCCAGCUUGGCUAGAAUAUAAGCAGGCAGAAAAAUGUGAAAAGAGAGACUGGCCUAGCCUCCCAGCCUAAAUCUUUCUCCUGUGUUGGAUGCUUCCUGCCCUCGAACAUUGGAUUCCCAAGUUCUUCAGUUUCAGAACUCGGACUGGCUCUCCUCUCUCCUUAGCCUGCAGACAGCCUAUUGUAGGACCUUGUGAUCAUAUUAUUGCAAAUCAUCAUAUGCAGUCUAUUUCAUUUGCCUCUGGAGGGGAUCCUGUAAGUAUGGAUUCACAGAAGUUCUUUUUAUGAGUUAAAAUAACUUCUUGACAUUUGGGGCUGGAUGAUAAUAAAA
rnacentral:lncRNA from 10 species